UUCAAAAAUUUUCUCCUCCCCGCGGCAUACCGUCACCAUCUCGUGCCAAUCUUUCUCAGAUGCUACCCUUCUCCCGCCGCCGCCGCACCAAUCUUCUCUCUUGCGCCCCAAAGCUCUCUCACCGCCCACAUCUAGUGCGCCGCCACCAAAGCUUCCCACAGUUGCCCCAACCCAUCCAAUGGUGGGGUGCCUCCCAAAUCCACGGCCCUCACUGGAUCUGCAAGCACCCCAAGCCUAGCACCACUCAGCCCUAGCUAUUCUUUGCCCCCAUCCCAAUUUCGUGAUCCCAAUCAGGCUGCCGUGGUGGAGAGAAGGACCUGCAGAGGAGGCAAGGAGAACCUUUUGGGGUGCUGCAGGAGGCAAGGGAGGUGCUGAUUUGGAUGCGAGAAGGACCUGCAGUGGAGGCAAGGAGAACCUGCGGCGGUGCUGAUGGCCUGCUGUUGUGUUGGCAAGAAGGAACUGACAAUACACUGCUGCAUGCUGCUGUGUUACUGGCAAGGAGCUGCUGCGUGCUGCGUGCUACUGAAUAAUGGCUCAAGCAAAGAUUUAGAUUUAGUCCAGCCAAAGAAGCUGAUUCAAAAGAACAUGUUGGAGUGUGUUGCUCAAGCCUCCUAGGGAGCAUCAUAUAUUAUGCAAGAAUUACUGCAACAAUUGAUCAUUUUCGUGAAGUGGAGAAAAGAAAAUUUUGUGAUAAAAUUGCUGGACAAUUCUACUUGACAUGGGAGGAAUAUGUUGCUCAAUGCCCUACUUGGUGCAAACAAAGUUGUUGGGAAGCUUUGUCUAGAGAGUGGAGCAGUCCAGAAUUCAAGCAAAGAUCUGAGACAAAUCGUGCAAAUCGCUACAGCCGUAAAUUUAAACCUCACAAGGAUGGAUCUAACUCUAUUGCAGCAAUAAAGCAAAAACUGGAUAGUGUCCAGUUUCUAAAAUUUUGCUCGUACUUUUUUACAGCAACACUAUUAAUUCAGAUUCUUUUUGUUAUAGUCGAAGAAAUUAGGAAGAGAAGUAUGUGAGAUCGAGGUAUGGGUCCAUACACAUAGAGGUUCAAAUCCUGAAGAUAUUACUUCACUGAACCCUGAAGAAGCAACUGCAUGCUUGGAUAAAUACAAAGCUAAUGCCAUUGAGUUAAAUGGACCAGAUUUUGAUUGGUUGUAUUCUCCAGUGGAUGCUAGAGCUCUUUAUGAAUGCGCUUGUGGUUGCCCACAUGGAAAAUGGGCCAUAUUUAAUGGGAUAAUCAAUGACAAAGAAGUCCUCUCUGACUUAAGGAGAAGUCGUGCCUAUGCAAUGGCUACUAGACAUCAACGCCAAGAGGAAGAUGAAUGAAUAAGGAUGGAAGCUCAUGAUGGUCGCGCGGCUAAGGAAUAUGCCCAAAAAUGUUGGAAUGGUGUAGAAUGGUGCAUGCUCACAAUGAGAACAUCCAAAAGCUUAUGGAGGCUUGUACUGGUGGCUCUUACGUUGGAAUAGAAACUUCUCAUGAAACCUUGACUAGAAUUGCUCUUGGAAGAUUCCGUGGCCAUUAAAAUGCAGCAACUACAAGUGGUGGUGGUACCUAUUCUCCACCGCAGGAAGAAUUUCCAUUCUUUUGACAUCUUUUGUUGCUAAAACAUGGCUUGGACAUGCAGGCAUGUUCUGUUGUCGUAAUAUGCAUGGACCAGAACUCCUUUUGGAUGAUCUAGUGUUUUAUUAUUCUGAGGCUUAGUUGCCGUAAUGUAUUAGUGAACAUCAUAACUGGAUUAUGUAUGUGUUAAUGAAUGCACGUAAUCAAUGCUCA